rnacentral:rRNA from 1 species
AAUAUUGCGCAAUGGAGGGAACUCUGACGCAGCGACCCCGCGUGAGCGAUGAAGGUCUUCGGAUCGUAAAGCUCUGUCCUUGGGGAAGAAGGUCUUCGGUAUUGACGGUACCUAAGGAGGAAGCCCGUGCUAACUACGUGCCAGCCGCCGCGGUAAUACGUAGGGGGCAAGCGUUGACCGGAAUUAUUGGGCGUAAAGGGUGCGGAGGCGGCCUUUUAAGUCAGAUGUGAAAGCCCCCGGCUUAACCGUGGGACUGCAUUUGAAACUGGAAGGCUUGAGUAUAGGAGAGGGUAGUGGAAUUCCCAGUGUAGCAGUGGAAUGCGUAGAGAUUGGGAGGAACACCAGUGGCGAAGGCGACUACCUGGACGAAAACUGACGCUGAGGCACGAAAGCUAGGGGAGCAAACA